GUCUUGGUAGUUCAGUCAGUAGAGCAUGAGACUCUUAAUCUCACAGUUGUGAGUUCAAGACCCAUGUUGGGCA